CGGCGAACGGGGUAGGAUCACCUCGGUGACGUACCCCCGGGUCGGGGAUAGCGGCGGGAAACUGCCGGUAAUACCCGAUAAUCUUCCAGGUUUUAAAGGGGAAGCAAAGGUGUGAUUCCGUCCGGGGAGCGGCCGAGGCGUAUUAGCUAGUUGGUAAGGUAACGGCUUACCAAGGCGAUGAUGCGUAGGGGGUGUGAGAGCAUGGCCCCCACCACUGGCACUGAGACACUGGCCGGACACCUACGGGUGGCUGCAGUCGAGAAUCUUCGGCAAUGGGCGCAAGCCUGACCGAGCGACGCCGCGUGCGGGAUGAAGGCCUUCGGGUUGUAAACCGCUGUCGGAGGGGAUGAAAUGCAUGGGGGUACUCCCCUGUGUUUGACAGAGCCUCGGAGGAAGCACGGGCUAAGUUCGUGCCAGCAGCCGCGGUAAUACGAACUGUGCGAACGUUAUUCGGAAUCACUGGGCUUAAAGGGUGCGUAGGCGGUGACUCAAGUCAGGUGUGAAAUCCCCCGGCUCAACCGGGGAACUGCGCUUGAAACUAGGUUGCUCGAGUGAGGUAGGGGUGUAUGGAACUUCCGGUGGAGCGGUGAAAUGUGUAGAUAUCGGAAGGAACGCCGGCGGCGAAAGCGGUACACUGGGCCUUGUCUGACGCUGAGGCACGAAAGCUAGGGGAGUGAACGGGAUUAGAUACCCCGGUAAUCCUAGCCGUAAACACUGAGCACUGGAGGAGAGGGGUUUCGGCCUUUCUCCUCGCAGCGAAAGCGUUAAGUGCUCCGCCUGGGAGUAUGGUCGCAAGGCUGAAACUCAAAGGAAUUGACGGGGGCUCACACA
rnacentral:rRNA from 1 species